UACGUAGGGUCCGAGCGUUGUCCGGAAUUAUUGGGCGUAAGGCUCGUAGGCGGUUCGUCACGUCGGGAGUGAAACUCGGGGCUUAACCCCGAGCCUGCUUCCGAUACGGGCAGACUAGAGGUAGGCAGGGGAGAGCGGAACUCCUGGUGUAGCGGUGGAAUGCGCAGAUAUCAGGAAGAACACCGGUGGCGAAGGCGCUCUCUGGGCCUUACCUGACGCUGAGGAGCGAAAGCGUGGGUAGCGAACAGG
rnacentral:rRNA from 1 species